AUUGAACGCUGGCGGCAGGCCUAACACAUGCAAGUCGAGCGGAUGAAGGGAGCUUGCUCCUGGAUUCAGCGGCGGACGGGUGAGUAAUGCCUAGGAAUCUGCCUGGUAGUGGGGGAUAACGUCCGGAAACGGGCGCUAAUACCGCAUACGUCCUGAGGGAGAAAGUGGGGGAUCUUCGGACCUCACGCUAUCAGAUGAGCCUAGGUCGGAUUAGCUAGUUGGUGGGGUAAAGGCCUACCAAGGCGACGAUCCGUAACUGGUCUGAGGGGUUGAUCAGUCAACCGGAAACGGGAAAAGGUCCAGACCCCCAAGGGGGGCAGCAGGAGGGAAAUUUUGGAAAAGGGGGGAAGCCUGAAUGCGCCCCGGCGCGGGAGUGAAAAAGGUCUUUGGAUUUGAAAAGCCUUUUAUGUGGGGAGAAAGGACGGGAAAGUAACUCUUUGCGUUUUGACGGUUACCAACAAAAAAAGCACGGGUAAAUUCGGG
rnacentral:rRNA from 1 species